UUGAACGCUGGCGGCAUGCUUUACACAUGCAAGUCGAACGGCAGCGGGGGCUUCGGCCUGCCGGCGAGUGGCGAACGGGUGAGUAAUGCAUCGGAACGUACCCAGUCGUGGGGGAUAACUACGCGAAAGCGUGGCUAAUACCGCAUACGCCCUGAGGGGGAAAGCGGGGGACCUUCGGGCCUCGCGCGAUUGGAGCGGCUGAUGUCGGAUUAGCUGGUUGGUGGGGUAAAGGCCUACCAAGGCGACGAUCCGUAGCUGGUCUGAGAGGAUGAUCAGCCACACUGGGACUGAGACACGGCCCAGACUCCUACGGGAGGCAGCAGUGGGGAAUUUUGGACAAUGGGCGCAAGCCUGAUCCAGCCAUGCCGCGUGAGUGAAGAAGGCCUUCGGGUUGUAAAGCUCUUUCAGCAGGAGCGAAACGGUCGUUUUUAAUACAGACGGCUAAUGACGGUACCUGCAGAAGAAGCACCGGCUAACUACGU
rnacentral:rRNA from 1 species